rnacentral:rRNA from 1 species
UACGGAGGGAGCUAGCGUUGUUCGGAAUUACUGGGCGUAAAGCGCACGUAGGCGGCUUUGUAAGUUAGAGGUGAAAGCCUGGGGCUCAACCCCAGAAUUGCCUUUAAGACUGCAUCGCUUGAAUCCGGGAGAGGUGAGUGGAAUUCCGAGUGUAGAGGUGAAAUUCGUAGAUAUUCGGAAGAACACCAGUGGCGAAGGCGGCUCACUGGACCGGCAUUGACGCUGAGGUGCGAAAGCGUGGGGAGCAAACAGG